rnacentral:lncRNA from 1 species
GGACUCCAUAGGAGAAAGAAGCUGUGUCUUGCUUGCUCUCAAGAUACUCAGAGGGUAGCUGUUUGGUAUUCCUUGGUUAGAUCUAGGAAAAACCAUUUAUUUCCCUCUCUGUGGCUGUCUUAAGAUUCCUACCUGCUUCCUGCUGAUUAUACUACACAGAGAAAGUAGAUUUCUACUGGAGGUGCUGACAUCUCUCUAUGGAGCAAAGGAGAUUGUUAUGAGAAACCUGAGGUAGAUAGAAGUUAUGUGACUUGCUCAGAGUAUGUAACUGGUCUCUUGAAUACUCAUGGUCAAGGAGUGGGAGAAGGCAAGAAAAUACGCAACAGACAUUCGCUUCCAACUUAAGUCUUCCUUGUUGUAAACAAGUCACAUGAAAUACUGCUGAUGAAAGUAACCAUGAGUCAGAAUACAGUGCUGUCAGCAAAGUCAUCCCUAAGAACAAACAAUAGCAAUAAACUAGCAACUUGAGAAAAUUUUGACA